ensembl:lncRNA
UGUGAGGACGUGUAAUGUCAACUCAGCCCAUUUCUGGUAUGCAAUCAGCUCCUUUGGUCUGUGUAUUUACAUAAAGUAUAGCAAAAUAUACAUACCCAACUGAAUGACUUCUGUAAGGGUGGAUUCAGUUACACUGCACUUGAAUAAUGCUAUUCAUUCUUAAAGGGAGAAGUGUGUUGAUUUUAGGUCACCUAUAGAGGGCGACAAUGGUACAGGAUGGACUUUUGGCAGUGUUUUGGGUAAAAGCGCUUCCAAAACUCUUGCCACCAACAAUUGUUUCCAGUGAAAAUAAACCAUUCUCCAUAGGAAUGCAGCAAUGAAACCAUCCUGCUCUAUCAUCCACAGGCCGAGCUGGGGCCCCGUCUAUCUGUCUGUCUGUAGAGCUGUGGCCAGGUGCUGAUGUGUCAGAUGACACAGUUGUUUCCCUUUAAAAAGACCCAGAUUUCCUCUCUGGACCUGAAAAACAUAAUAUCUGCAGUUGAUUUCCGGAUUCAGAUGGAGCCCAAGGUGCUGCACCCUCAAGUCUCGGUGAUGUUCUGGUUUCUAGACAGGACACAGGUCCAUCCAUCAGUGAGUCCAUGUGAUUUAUUUAUUUAUUUUUUAAGACAUGUAAUUGUCGUUGAAGGUAAAAAGAAGAUUGCUUAGAAAAGGAACAACAAAGACAAACAUUUACACAAUUUAAAUGAUAUAUAACCAUUUGCCUGCAACCGAGCACAUUGAAAUAGAAAUGUACUAAUCAUCAACAAACUGGUGAACAGUGAGUAAAUCGAGUGCAGUAGAUCAUUUAUUUUUAGCCCAGUAUCUCAUUAACUGUAUGAUCAAGAGCUCUUUUGUCACCUCUGAUCAGUCAGUCUUAUAUCACAGAGUGAGUCCAGCAGAUUCAGCCUGUAACAGUAUAUUAUAUACACACACAUGAUCUCAGUGCUGCUGAGCUCAGCGUCCAGCGGUUAGAGGCAGCGACACACGCCAAGUGUCUUUCCAGUAAUAACCCACACAUGGCACGGACACGUAAGCUGUGAUUCACAGAUCUCUCACAAAAAAACACGAUAGCAAAAACUGAUGCUAGAGUGUUUCGAGCAGAUCAGAGACCUAAAGUGACCCCAUAAAAUGUUUUGAAUGUGAUUGCAUGAACCUCUUUGUACACAAAGAUCACCGGAGGCCCCAGAUUAUUGUUGUACAAUAGUCACAGCACACUAAAGCAUCACGCUCUUACUUGAUCGGGACAAACUGUGUAUCAUUAGAACGAUUUAAGGCUUUGAUAUUUGACUGUUGUUUACAGUCAGUUCCAGUGACCGUAAUUUCUUAAUCAGUACAAAGUCAUGGGGAAGUCGUGGCCUAAUGGUUAGAGAGUUUGACUCCUAACCCUAAGGUUGUGGUUUUGAGUCUCGGGCCGGCAAUACCACGACUGAGGUGCCUUUGAGCAUAUUUGAAUAUGUUUUAAAAUGUAAUUUAUUCCUGUGAUGCAAAGCUGAAUUUUCAGCAUCGUUACUCCAGACUUCAGUGUCACAUGCUCCUUCAGAAAUCAAUCUAAUAUGCUGAUUUGCUGCUCAAGAAAUUAUUGCUAUUAUUAUUAUUAUCAAUGUUAAAAACAAUUUGCGGCUUGAUAUUUGUGAGAUUCUUUGAUGAAUAGAAAAGAAACAGCAUUUUAAAUAACAUUUUAAUUAUCUUUUUGACUAAUUUAAUGCAUGCUUGUUGAAUAAAAGUAUUAAUAAUAUAAAAUAAU